GUUGUUAGUUUCAAUGUGGCUCAAUGUGUGCAUAUAGUGCCCGUUCACAUGACAAUGCAAGCUCGGUAAUGCAGUAGUAUUUUGAUUCUGCAAGUAGCUCAGCUAUUUCUUUGUUAGUUUCGGGUAAUGGGACACUGCCAUCGCGCAAGAAGUUGAGUAUGAUUCCAAAAUGGUUUCCACAGCGAUCUAUUAGUAUCCAACCUUCUGAAUCAGUUAGCACCUCCAUGCGACCACUAAACAUAGCGCUUAGCAUUGUAUCAUUAUGCUUCGUCAGUGUUCCGAUUGUAGUAUAAUAUAAGCGACCACCAACAUUCAGCUUGACAUACUGAGACGAAUGCCCUUUUAACAGCACUUUCUGAUCACCGGACAUGGCUUCAGACUGCUUGGCAUGAAGCACAAAUUGGUGGCUACUUUCUGCAGGUGCCAAAAUCACUUUGUGUUAAAAAUACAAUUUUCCUAAAAUUGAAAAUGUGAAAAAAACCAGAAGAGCACUUACACAAAUCGGCAGUUAAGGCUAAUGGCAGACAUUCUUAGACUUCGAUAUAUCAGCCAAGACACAUACACGCACAAUGCGACACAACGCGUUGCAACGCUGCUAGGAAAGCCCUGUAAACUGAUGUGACGCUCUCCGUUGGAUGGAACAACAUUGGCAACACUGGCACACUCUUAUUUCGAUAUUUGGAAUGAUGGCAUCUUCUACUUCUACGAAUCACAAGGCGACAACUCUACUUAAACUGGCGAACAAUCCUCUACUCUGGUACACAGCCAUCCUUGACGGACAGCGUACAGCUUUUGACGGGCUUUCCUAGGUUUUUAUAUCGUUAACAUCCAAGAGGUUACUUCACGCAAAUAUUCACGCACUACACAUUCACAAUCUCUCGUUAAAAAACUCUGGGCUGAUGGCGAUGCAGUUGGCAUGGCGAACGCACAUUUUAAUGUUUAAUUCUAGCAUAUUAAUAAAUAUAUUGAAAGAA